UGUCUCCCCAGUCUCCUUUCUGGGAGGGCUUUUCCUCCUCUUCCGUUUGCCCGCAGUCUGGGAAUCAAAGAAUCCUUAUCAGUGCUUCCUUCCUCUCAGAAAGCUGGAAUUCGCAGUGUCCACCCCAAAUGUCUAUUGGCCUAAGCAAAUUCUUCCAAACCCCGAAGAGCUGAGAAAAGGGCUGGAUAUGGCAGGGGGCUGCAGCAGGCUGCCAACGAUGGAGGUUGGAGGAAAAUACUCCCCUUUACCACAGCUCUAAGGGGGUGGGAUAAAUACGUGGCUAUCUCUAGUUCCUCAUGUCUUAUUUCUACCUCUCUGCCUAACAUCUAUUUAUCUCUGGUUUUCCUCCCCACAUGUCUAGGGCAUGGCUUUGACAUUCAGUCAAACUAGUGAAGACACAUGAUUACCCAUUUUCUGCUACCCAAAAUAAUCUCUCUCUCUCUGUCUCUCUCUGUGAAGCAAAUUGCUCUUUGCUGGUAAGGAAAGUAUUAAAGGUGCCAUAGCACCGGCAGCUCCUUCUUGGGAUACGCUGUGGUGCUACAAAAGAUCUCUGAAAUUUGGCAGCAUCUCCAUGAAGGCGGCCCAGAUGGCUGAUGUUAGCAAGCAGUGGGGAAUGAAAGGUCUGAUUGGAAUCUGAGGGUGCCAGCCCUUGAGAAACUGAUUUGUAGAGAGUCAAAGCCCAUUUUGGUGGUGGUGCUGCUGCUUUGUUGGGUCAACGUUCUGCUCCAGAAUUCCGUAUUUUAGGCUAGCAGCAUAACGAAGCCUUGGGCAGCAUCUGCUGCACCUUUCCCAGUACAUGGGACUGUGAUUGGUGUUACCAGUCACAGCUAGAAGAUCUGCCUUCUGAUUCCCCAGUGGGAGACAAGCCAAACCAACUUGCAGAGCAAGCCAAAUAAUUGUUGAUUAGACACUUCUUUUAGCAUGGAGUGUUCUGCCCUUUUAGCUGUCCUGGUUAUAUAGGCCAAAUCAGUUACUAGAUUAAAAGGUUGUUGUAAUUUUUUAAAUGCUCUGACAUCAGCAGCCAACUCAGGAAUUUGGGGGGUUCCUUCGAUGACUUGAACAUCCUACUCCCACUUCUGAGUGUUUGGAUCCUUCCAAGUGAUAACCGAUUUGUGUGAUUUUCCAGAGCGAUCUGUAAAAACUGUGAGGGCUUUAAGAGGAACCUUACCUUUUAGAGAAUUUGGGACUAGAUGGAAUGUUUCUUUUAGUAGCUUGUGUUUUGGAUAAUGAAUAGAGACUUGUCCGGGAUAGCUGUCUAAAUCAAACUGAAGGUAUCCAUUUGUCUGUAAUAGCGAUUCUAAUUUGUGUAGUUGAAAUGCUGGAUAAAUGUAUGUUGGGUCACACGCUGCAGGGGUUCGGAGGUGGUUCCUGUCUUUAAUGAUUAACUGAGCUAAAAGCUCUUGAGGGAUUGUAAUAGUUUUUUUGGUGUGGCAAAAAUACCCAUUCUACAAUUAACAAUUUUUCUGUAGAAGACGGGUCCCACUGAAAAAGCAGUGCCUGGAAAUGUGGGGAUUUACCAAGACUAGCAAACUGGGAGGUUAGAGAGCAGUCAGCGCGGUGUGCUUUUCGAGAUGAGAUAGCAGGUGCUACCUUUCGCAGCGCGUCGUGGGCAUCUGGAGUUAAGAUGCGCUGGGAAGUCAGGUCAUGGCUCCCCUUCAGUAGGCUGAACAAAGGGCACAGCUCUUCUCUCGUGAGUCCAAGCAGUGGUCGGAUCCAGGUGAUGGAGCCACACAACUGUUGUAUGUCCCUUAGCAUUUGAGCCUUAUCUUUGAUGGAGAUAUUUUGGGGAAUAAUGGCUCACCCGCUGAUAAGGAAUCCAAGGUACUUCCACAGGGAGGUCUACUGGGUUUUUCAGGAGCAAUAUCAAAACCUGCAUCUUCAACUGCUGUCACAGUCUUUCUGAUCACUGGGUUAAGGUAAGUCUUUUCUUGGGAGCAAAUUAAAAUGUCGUCCAUAUAAUGCCGAAAUAUAGCUUCAGGGAAGGCUUUCCUGAUUGGAGAUAGAAUCCCAGCCACAAACAUUUGACAUAAAACAGGGGAAGUUUUCAUUCCCUGUGGCAAUGUGACCUAAUGAUAUCUUUUAAAGGGUUCUUGACAGUUGAUUGGUAUCGAAAAUGCGAAUUUGGGAGUGCGGGACAGAGAGGGAUGUUGAAUAAACAGUCUUUGAUAUCAAGGAUUGUGAGCUGCCAGUCCCUGGGAAGUACAGAAGGUGAGGGGAGCCCUGGUUGCAAGGAGCCCAUGUCUUCUAAAACAUAAUUUACUUUCCAAAAGUCUUGUAAUAACCUCCAUCUGUCUUUGCCAGGUUUUUUAUAAAAAGACAUGGGUCAGGAGCUAGUUGAUGGUACAAUGUGUCCUUUUAAUAAUUGUUCCUGUACUGAGGCAUGGAGCACUUCUAAUUUGUCAUUUGGAAGGCCCAAUGAUCCACCCACACAGGAUCAUACCCACAGGGAGGGAUCAUACCUUUUCCCACAGAUGGACAACAGCCAUAUUGAGUGGUUUAGUUUUCAUUUCUUUUUAAUUCCCAAAGUUUCAUUUUUUUCAACAUUGUAAUACAGCAUCUCUAUUCAAAUCAUUAUACUCACCUUGGUUAAUUAAAUAUUUAUUAAUUUAUUUUGCCCCCAUAAUAUCAGACAAAAGCAUAGGACAAAAGCAUAGGAAGAACAAGAAGCAAUUACAGAAAUACAGUAUCUUCCCUGAAAAUCCCUUGGAAACCAUGUUAAAACAAUGGGAAGAACAUCAACUUACUAAAGAUAAAGACCCACAGCUCAAGAUUGUGCAUUGCAUGUUAGAAUGGCCAAAGAAGAAAUUAAAACAAGGUCUUCGCUGGCUGAAGCAUGGGUCUACCAGGAUGUGGAUUUGCGAAGUACUUUACAAUUACGCCCAAAAUAAAUUAAAUGCAGACUGGAAUUGCAGUAUGUGGAGGUCUGGUUUAAAUAUUGGAACAGCGAAAAGGAAGUAGAAACAGAUAAACCAAAUUCUCUCUGUAAUGAUCAAUGAUAAAGACACAACAAGGAAAACCAAUCAACCAAGGUGGGACUCAUUAAAUUUCCUCCCCCCUACUGCACCUCCCAACGAACCAGCUGCAACUGCAGCUGAGUCAUUGGAGGCUUCAAUGAGUCAUGUAACUGAGAGGGCUGAAGAAAUUGAAAGUAGCAGUGGGACAUCAGAAGAAACGUAUAUUCUAUCAUUCUCCUCCAGGCAAAUUACAAAUUCAGCCAUGCAGGAAGUUCCAUCCAAUCAAGAAGGUCCAGCCUUCUUCACUUGAAGGAGAACCCUGGUAGUACAAAAAUGUUCCUCCUGCUCCAGCAGUAAAGAUAAAACAAAGGUGGCAUCCCUCAGAGAGGUCCCAAUGGAGGGUGCACAAGGUGGAAUAGGAUAUGUAAAUGCACCCCUCACCUCUUCAGAAGUGAGGCAUUUUAAAAAGGAAAUGGAGAUAUUAUUCAGUGACCCAGUAGGUAUGUCAGAAAAAGUUUACCAGUUCUUAGGCUCUAGGAUUUACCCUAGGGGAAAAUGAAAUUCAAUAAUGCAAACCCUUUUCUCUCCAGAGAAGAGAAAAGUUAUUUAGACUGCAGGGAUCAAUAUAUUGGACAGAGAACAUAAUUUAGGAACAACUGGAGAGAAGAAAUUACCAUUAACAGAUCCAGAAUGGAACCCUAACUCAGAUGAAGGAAGAAAAAGUAUAGCAGAAUACAGAACCCGAAUUGUAAGGGGAAUAAAAGAGGCAGUCCCCAGAGUUAAUAACAUGAAGAAAGCCUUUGGUAGCAAACAAUAAAAACAUGAGAGCCCAACUGACUGUAUAACUCGCUUAAAUAAUAACAUCCAAUUAUAUUUAGAAAGAGAUUUAGGUAGUGAAGGAGGGAAGACAAUGUUCUAGGUCCACUUUGGGUUACAUUCUUGGCCUGACAUAAAACAGAAAUUAGAGAAAUUAGAUGGAUGGCCAGAAAGAAGUUUAGAUGAGUUAUUAGCUGAAGCACAGUAAGUUUAUGCCAGGUGAAAUGAAGAGAAAAUGAAGACUAAAGCUAAGAUGAUGGCUGCUGUCCAAAUUCCUAAACCAAUUAGGCAGGAUGGGGAGAAUAUUCAAUUGAAGAAACCUAUUUGCUUUUAUUGUAAGAAAGAAGACCAUAUGCAAUCCUGCUGUUUUAAGACAUUGAGGGACUUAAGAGAUUCUCCAAGUGGAGAAUCAACCCUCAGAGAACUGAGGGGGUCAGGGGCUCUUCUUCUUGGGGCACAAAAACCAUCUUCAAGAGCCCUUGAUAAAAUCAAGGAUAGGACCCCUAGAACAAUUAAUGGAAUUUUUAGUAGACACAGGAGCAGAGACAACUUGUUUAACUGAAAAACCAAAUGCAUGUGCCAUAAGCAAAGACACUUUCAAUAUUUGUGCUGCUAAAGGGGAAUCCUUCCCCAUUCCCAUCAUUAAGAAUGUCACUAUAAAGGGUAAUGGACUAACCAGAAAGGGAGAUUUGUUUUUCUACCUCCAGCAGGUAACAACUUACUUGGCCAGGAUCUCCAGAUACCUUUGAAAGUUGGAGUAGUUCCACAAGAAGGAAGGAUGAAGGUCAUUUUGUUUACUUUAUCCACACAAGAUGAAAACUGAUUAAUCCUACAGUGUAAGCCCAACCAGAUUCUCCUUCUAGACACCUGUUUGCUUCCACCUGGGAAGAUCCAGACACUGGAAGGAAACAGCAGCUCACCUGGACCUGGUGACUGCAAGGGUACAUGGAGUCUCCCACACUCUUCGGUCAAGCCUUGGAGAGCCUGUUCAUUCCCUUUUCUCCACCCUCAGGAAUACAAGUAACACAGUAUGUAGAUGACAUACUACUCUCCAGAGAGCAAGAAUCCACUGUAAAAUUAGGCACCAUUCAGUUACUGAACCUUCUAGGAGAGAAUGGACUAAUAGUAUCUAAAUCCAAAUUACAAUUUGUUAAACCAAAGUAAAAUAUUUCGGACAUGUAAUUGGUCAUGGUACCAGAAAAUUGAGUACUGAAAGGAUAGAAGGGAUUUUAAAUUUACAACCUCCCCAAACAAAGAGCGAGGUUAGACAAUUAUUAGGCUUAAUGAGGUACUGUAGAAUAUGGAUUGAUGAAUACACACAAAGUGUCACAAUUUUAUAUGAAAAAUUAACUACAUCAGAACCUAUUAAUUGGACCCAAGAGGAUAAUAAAAACUUAGAAAAUUUAAAGCAAAAGAUGAUUCAGACCCCAGUUCUCUUUCUUCCUUCACUAGAAGAAGAUUUUCACCGCUAUAUUAACAUAGAGAAAGGAAUUCCUUAUGAGGUCUUGGCCCAAGAGUGGUCAGGAAUCCAUAAACCUGUAGCCUACUUGUCCAUAUUGUUGGUCCCUGUGUCCCAAGGAUGGCAAACAUGCAUCCAACCAAUCACUGCAGCAGCCAUCCUAGUAACAGCCAGCCAAAAACUUACAUUUGAGAGAAAUCUGACAGAAUACAUACCACACUCCACCCAAACCAUUCUUAAACAACGAGCAGCCGAAUGGCUAACAGACUCUCAUAUUAUACAAUAUGGGAGCACCCUCAUCCAUUCCACAACUGUAACCCUGAAAACAACCACCCACACCAAUCCUGCACAGUUCCUAUGUGGAAUUCCCCAAAAACAAGAUCUCGUGCACAACUGCAUAGUUUUUAUAAACCUGCAAACAAAAAUUCAAGAAGACCUCCUAGAGAGCCCAUUAGAUGAAGGAGAAAUCCUGUUCAUCGACGGAUCAUCUAGAGUAGUAAAUGGAAAGAGGUGCUCUGGAUACUCCAUCAGAGAUGGAAAAGAACUGUACAGGUUAGAAAAGGAAAACUACCACCUUCCUGGUCUACCCAGGAGAAACAACAUGAAUAGAACCAAGGCCAGUUCCAGGUAGGACUUUCCUGCAUUUAGGUCCCUUCCUGCAUCCAGGUACACUCCCAUGAAAACCAAGGGGUCUGAACCCAGUAGGAAAACCAGAGAGGUUGAAUGGUCUGCACCACCUAUCAAAGAGUACCACAGCACUUCAAUCUUCCCAUUGACCCCUGAGCGAGGGAAGGGAAGGUGCGCCCUACUCCUCAUACUCUCCCUCUGGAUCCUGUAGAUCCCCCUUGUCAGAGCCUGCAUCUGCUGCCACCAAUGCUAACAUACAGUGUACCUGACCAAAGGAAACUCCUACCUCAUAAAACACUCAUUCCAGGCACAUUCUUAUGUAAAUCCCUUUUGUUAUAAUAUGAUGACACUGAGUAGAUACUGACAAUCGGACAAAAACCAAUGGAUUGGUAGAAAUAUUGGAAAUGCAAACCAGAAAAGGAAUGGAGAGUGUCCUGAUCAAGAGAUUUGGCUAUAUGUCAAAUUUAAUUAUAUAACGAAAAAGAAGGAUUUGUUAAAAAGGAAAACUUAUGAUGUUGAUUUGAUUCGAGAAAUUGUAAUAACUGAAAGGGGGAAACAAAAGGGGGACAAUCCAUUAGCUACCGAUAAAAACUUAUUUACUGUUUUAGCAGAACAAAUUAGUAAAAAUCAAAAUAUAACCAAUUGUUGGGUUUGUGGAGGCACCUUCAAAUCAGAAGCCUGGCCUCAGCAAGGAGUCAGUAUUGGACCCCUCAAAUGACUUAAACUAAAUUAUUUCCCCUCCCAAACUCCAAGAGAUCAAGACAAUUGGCUAUUGAGGGACACAGUUCUUGGAGAAGAAUGUAUCUGGAGAAAAGGAAAAAGAUACACUGAGGAAGUUGGAGAAACUACCUGUAAAAGAUAUUUACUAACUGAGGAUCACAAGACGUGGUGGAUACUGAACGAACCAGAUACCUUUUGGUCAAAGAAGAAAAUCAGAAACAAGAACUGCAUAUUACAUCCCAAUGAACAACUUUAUCAGUGCUGGGACCCUAAAAGUCAGCCUUUAUUCAGUAUUACCCCAAGUUUCUAAGUAUUGGACCUCCACUUUUAUCACGCUUUCACAUUUUUGGGAGGCCCCCCAAGGUUUAUACUGGAAUUGUGGGCAAAGAGCAUAUUCUAAACUCCCUUCUCACUGGUGUGGCAAUUGUACCUUAGGAGCAAUACGACCUAGCCCCUUUCUACUAUCAGAAGCAGCUGGAAACCAGCUCGGAGUUCCCCUAGAUGAUAAAUUAAAGAGACAAAAAAGAUGUGAAAUAGGGGGAAUGUAACAAUGGGGUGAGGAAGAGUGGCCACCAGAGAGAAUUUUAGAAACUUACGGACCUGCCACUUGGGCUCAGGAUGGGAGCUGGGGCUAUCAAACUCCCAUUUACAUGCUAAAUCACAUUACUGGACUACAAGCCCUGAUUCACGUCAUAUCUAAUCAGGCCAAGAGUGCAAUUGAUUUUUUCAACGCCCAACAGAAGCAAAUGAAAACAGCUGUAUAUCAAAACUCUUUAGCCCUAGAUUAUUUAUUAGCCAAAGAGCGUGGAAUAUGCGGCAAUUUCAACACAUCAGACUAUUGUCUGCAUAUUGAUGACCAUGGUGAAACUAUUACUAAAAUUACCCAAAACAUCAGAAAGCUUACACAUGUUCCAGUCCAGUUUUCACCUGAUUAGUGGAAAAAUAUGUUCUCUAGGGAGUGGUAGAAGAAAGCCUUAAUUAUUUUUCGAGUUUCCUUAGUUAGCCUUCUCUUUCUCCCGUGCUUAAUCCCAUGUUUCAUUCAUCUAAUUACCUCAGUAGUACAAAGCAUGUUCGCUAGUCAAAAUCUUCAAACGAGCCAACAUUCUAUGCCUACUGUCAAGAAAAUCAUAAAUCUCAAUCCAAUCAAAACAGAUAGGAAAACGGGUAAAAAGGCCCAGCAAGUUUAGAUUAAUUUUAAACAAUUAAACAUUAUCAACAAAGAACUUUUACAUUUAUGUAAAUGCAAAAGCCAAUUACUAACAUAAGAGAAAGAGGGAGGAACUGUCAUUUAUAAAAUCCCUUACAUGGCUUUUGCAUUUGUGACUGGUUUAUAUUUGUAACUGUUAAUUAGCUUUUGCAUUUAUAACUGUUUAAAGUUACUAGUUUGAUCAAGUAAAAGUGUUCAAAUUAAUGAAGUAAAUAAUAUAAAAUCAUUAUCAAGUUAUACUAGCUAUUCAGUAGAUCCCAACUGAAUGUUUAACAGUCCUGUUAAAAUAGGUAGCAAAAUAAGAACUAUAUUAUUUUUAUAAUCCUUUGUUCUUAACCUAAUUACAUUAUUUGUAAAUUUAAUUAUCUCUUUUUAGUAGCCUUAUACUUUCAAAGUUCCCAGUGCAGUUUCCUCUCACCAACAGCAUGCAGCAUUUUACAGACAAUUUCUAGCCCACUCCAGGUUGAACUGGUAACUUGAUGCCACAGCAAUGGUGCAUACUAAUGAGAGAGCUUCCCAUCAAAAACCUCAGAGAUAUCAUCCCACCCCAGUGACAGCACACUCUGGGAAAGAAGAUCUUACCCCAUCAUCUACUAGCACCAAUCACCUGAGACUAUGGGGGCAGGACUGCAAGUACAGACUGAGGGGACCGAGAACAUCAAAGGGGCAGCCUGGCCUGAAGAGCUGUCUUUGCUGUCUUUUACUGUUCCUGGGACUGUGACUUAGCUACAGCAGGGGACCCCACACUGCAGAUUUCAGUCAAUAUCUCUUUUUAGAGACCUUAUUCCAGAUUUGAGGGCAGACUAAGUGCAUUCACUGCAAUGCCCUCGGGUUCUUGCCUUGGGGCCAGACGCCAGUUCAGCUAGAGGUUUCCUCAAUCCUUGGGCCUGGGACUUUAUCCUUUUUUCUUUCUUUCCUUUCUUCUUUUUCCUUACCUCCCUUUUUGUUUUUCCCCUUUAAAUAAACACCCUAUUUUUGUUCAAA